AGCGAACGCUGGCGGCAGGCUUAACACAUGCAAGUCGAGCGGGCACUUUCGGGUGUCAGCGGCGGACGGGUGAGGAACGCGUGGGAACGUGCCCUCUGGUUCGGAAUAACUCAGGGAAACUUGAGCUAAUACCGGAUACGCCCUUUUGGGGAAAGGCUUGCUGCCGGAGGAUCGGCCCGCGUCUGAUUAGCUAGUUGGUGAGGUAACGGCUCACCAAGGCGACGAUCAGGAGCUGGUCUGAGAGGAUGAUCAGCCACACUGGGACUGAGACACGGCCCAGACUCCUACGGGAAGCAGCAGUGGGGAAUAUUGGACAAUGGGCGCAAGCCUGAUCCAGCCAUGCCGCGUGAGUGAUGAAGGCCUUAGGGUUGUAAAGCUCUUUUAUCCGGGACGAUAAUGACGGUACCGGAGGAAUAAGCCCCGGCUAACUUCGUG
rnacentral:rRNA from 1 species